rnacentral:rRNA from 1 species
UUCUGGAGAAAAGGGGGUACCGUCCUGCUCAUGCAAUUUUGUAAAUAGCCGCAGUAUUCCUGACUGUGCUAAGGUAGCAUAAUCAUUAGUCUUUUAAUUCGGAGGCUGGUAUGAAUGACGAGACGAGAAAAUGACUGUCUCUAUAAUAAACUUUGAAUUUCAUUUCUGAGUGAAAAAGCUCAGAUAAUUUUGAAGGACGAUCAGACCCUUUGGAGCUUUAUUUACUUUAAAAAUUUGAAUUUGUUUUAAUUGAUUGAAUGGAAAGUAAAUUUUGUUGGGGCGACAGGGAGUAAAAUAUAACACUCUUUUUUUAAAACAAUCCUAAUUGGAAAAUUGAUCCUUAGAGUGAGAUUACAAGACUAAGUUACCCUAGGGAUAACAGCGUAAUCUUUUUGGAGAGUUCAAAUCGAUAAAAAGGUUUGCGACCUCGAUGUUGGAUUAAGAGAUUGGCAAGGUGCAGAAGUUUUGCUGGAAAGUCUGUUCGACUUUUAAUCUCUUACAUGAUCUAUUUUUAAAACCGGGGAAAAAAGGAAGAAAAGGGGGAUGAAUUAAAGAACGGAGCCCGGGCCGGGUGGGGUCCGAUUAAGGGGACUCUUACACUCCGCCGUGACCCCGGAGUGCCUCCCUCAUGUGGAGGCGGCCACGGGCGGUUUGGUAUGUGAGGGCCGGCCGGAAGGCGAUUAUCUAAGAAAAAAGGGGAACAGUUGGUAGUUUUAAAAAAAAGCUAGAGAAUUUUUGGGUG